GGAGGAUGAGUGAUUGAUCAGCACUUCACUACCAUCACGGUUCUAUCAUCAUUUUCUUUUCUUUUAUCUUAUUUUAUUUUAUUUUUCUUUUAUUCACCAUCUUCUCACCAACUUUUUCACACUGGGGACAGUGUGAUUUAAGUCUGGGGGAGGAUGUCUAUCCGUACUAAUCAUUUUCCUGCUUUUGCUUUUAAAUUUCAUGCACUUUUUAAAUUUUAAUAUGUAACCUAUUCGAC
rnacentral:lncRNA from 1 species